UGGCUCCGGCGCGCGCGGCCCUGGGUGAAAAGAAGCGGCGAGCGCUCGCCCCGCCCCCUCCACCCGAGCGCGGCCCCGGCGCAGGCGGGGCGGGGUCGCCGGGUUGGGCCCAUGGAGGCGGCGCGGGCGCUGUUUGCUUGGGGUGCAAACAGCUAUGGGCAGCUCGGCCUUGGUCAUAAAGAGGAUGUGCUGUUGCCCCAGUCUCUGAAAGAUUUUUCUUGCAAACAUCAAAACAUUAAGAGCAUUGCUGGAGGAGGAGGACACUCUGCAGUUAUUACUGGUGCAGGAGAACUCUUUGUAUGUGGCCAAAACAAAGGAGGACAAUUAGGACUCAAUCACACUGAGGAUGUCCUGUGUUUUACUUCAUGCACUGCACUGUCUAAUGUUUGUGUGAUACAAGUUGCCUGUGGUUGGGAUUUUACAAUCAUACUUACAGGAAAUGGCCAAGUUUUAUCCUGUGGGUCUAACUCUUUUGGACAACUAGGAGUCCCUCAAACUUCAGGAGGAUGCUUGAUUCCACAAAAGAUUGAGUCCCUCACAGAGAAGGUGGUGAAUGUUGCUGCAGGACUCAGACAUGCUCUUGCUGCUACAGAAAGCGGCAUGGUGUUCCAGUGGGGAACAGGCAUGGCUUCUUGGGCAAACCGGGCAAGCCAAGGGAAAAUGAUCCCAUCCUUCUUGACAGCAAAAGAACCUUGUAAAGUAACAGGUCUGGAAGAUGUGCAGGUGAAAAGAAUCACUGCCAGCUCCUACCAUUCAGUGUCACUUACAGAUGAAGGAGAAUUGUGUGUUUGGGGUAGCAACAAACAUGGGCAGCUAGUGAGUAAAGAGCCUUUUCUCGUUGAGCCCCAGAAAAUAGAUGCUCAUUUUUUCUCGGGUGAAAAGAUUGGAGCGGUCUGGAGUGGAUGGACGCAUGUAGUGGCGCAAACAGAAACUGGCAAGGUCUUCACGUGGGGUAGAGCAGACUAUGGGCAACUCGGAAGGAGUGCAGUGGUUCACGAUGGACAAAGACAGGAGGUGCAGAGAUCAUCUGAAGAAAAUGUGGAGCAGUUGUCUAAUGUGCCGGUUUCAGUGCCUUGCCUCGCUGGAGCAUCUCAGGAUGGCCACAUGGAAGUUAUUGCAUGCUUUAACACACAUGGUACUGCCACAACAUUGAAUUUGGGAAGGUCAGUGAUGUAGAACCAUUUGGCAGUGAGAACUGUGGAGCUAGGAAUCAUCACAAACCUCACCACCUUUCAUACCAGCUAGACUUAAACAGCAGCUAUACCUCCUCAGAUUAAUUGUCCAUUAUGGAGUCUUCAACCUGGAGCUGGCCAUUGUUGUAACAGGGUCGUGGAUUAGAUGGACCACAGGACUGAUCCAGUAUAGAAGUUCCUAUUUUCCUCUCCUCACUGCAGUAUCAGAACAGCAAGACAGGACUGCUAAAAAUGACUAGAAUAACUUUGUCUCUAGUUGUCUUCACCCUAUUUUGAGAGCGUGAGUGUGCGUAUAAUAUAAUAUAUACACAUACACACUACAUAACAGCAUGAGGUGGAUUUUCUUUGCCAGCCUGAUGGACAGUUGCUGAUUCAUGAAAGAAAACAACCUUCCUGCCAAGAACUGGAAACUUGCCAUGUUGCUCAAUAAGAUGAGAUCCCACUCCCAUGGGCAGAGUGGGAUUUCAGAAUGAACCAUUACAUAGUCUUCUUACCGAAUGCAGGAAGAUUGAACGUAAGAAAUGAAACCACUGUUUUUCUGUGGUUUUUCCUCUUACUCUAAUUUAGAACUCCACGAGUAAGAAACAAUUUAAUGAAGGUGUUUUAGAUUACAUUUCCAUCUAAGCAAUUCCUUUUGCUAGUAAUCCAUUUGUUAUGAUAGUUCUCUGUAUAGAUAGAUAGAUAGAUAGAUAGAUAGAUAGAUUCUAUUUUACUUUUAUCACCAAAUUCUUUAUAUGUGGGGAGGAGGAACAAUUCAGAGUAGAUCCAUGGAUUGCAAGAGGGGUUUAGUUAACUAAAUAAAGGUUCAGCCUGAUGAGAGGAAUUUUAAUAAAGUGAAAGGUAUCAAUGAGGACAGGAGCUUAGAAGGAUUCAGUAAAGGGUUGGACAUUUUAUAAAUAACAAGAACAUCCAGAGUUGCAGUAUGAAGUAUGAAAAACAAACUUUAAGAACUUUGAAAGGGGGAUAAACAUUUAUGCUUAAAGGCAUCAGCCAACGCCUAACUAAUGGGGGUUAGGAAGAAACUUUCCCUGUGGGCAGAUUAUUGGGUAACUGCCUACUGUAGGGUUCCUUGCACCUGCCUCUGAAGCACUUGGUACUGGCCAGUUUCAGCAACAGGAUACUGGACAAGAUGGAGCACAGGUCUGAUCCAGUAUGGCAAUUCCUGUGUUCAUAUGAAAACUUUUUUUCACCUAAAUCCUGAAGUCUAUUUCAGGCAAAAUUCCCAUUGCCUGAAUAAGUACUGAGAGUUUGACGCUCUGCUCAGACAGAGCGGAGAAGUGGUAUGGCAGAGAGCUGGUUGCAACUCCCUGGUCAUACCUGACCCCCGCAUACGUAAAAGCGUUGGGAGAACGGGGCAUAGAGGAAUAUUGCUCUGCAAAACUCCACCCACACUCAUUCAUUGGAACAUCUCGGACGUGCCCCUUUCCUCCUCUUAUGUGGCGAGGCUGCAGAACCGUCUCCACUGGCUUUUAUUGGCCGAGAGAUUCCUGUGCAGGUGGAAUUUGUUCAGUGCAAUGUGGCCUUACCAAACUGGAGAAUCCAGCCCUGAGUAAAAACGUAGGCCCCAUUAUUCUGUUGACAUUAAUGAGGCUGAGUAGCAGCUUACUCCAUGAAAAGUUUAAAUUAAUUGAUGUUAAUCUGACCUGAAAUAAAGGGCCUUCUUGCAGAGUAAAGUACUGCUUAUCUGAAGUAAGAGUGGGAAGGUCUGGCCCUGGGUGGAGGACUCUUUUCUUUGUAGGAGAUGGAACGUUAAUUAUUAACGGUAGUAGUGGCAACUGGUAGAUAAGAGGAAUAAUUAACAGCAAAUUUCUUAUGUAAAAUUCCUCCUAUUUUGCAUGUCUGCAAAUCCAUCAGAUUAAAGGAUUUUACUGCAUAUAAAAUAUGUGGGCUGCCAAAUUCCUUAGUGAUAAAGAUGCCAGAGUGAGGGUAUAUAUAUAUAUAUAUCUCUUCUGCCUCAAGAUGAGGGUCAUCAUUGGGUCAGGGCAGUGAAUGAUGAAAUACAAUUAUAUUGUUCAUUAUAAUAAUGACUCAUGUAUUGUAGGUGCCUAUGGUAUGCACUCUGGAUGUAUUGCACAUUCUGGUGGAUGUUUAAUUUUGUUUUCUCUUGCCAUUGGCUGGCAUCACCUCUCUUAAUGGAUAAUCAGACUAGUUGUUGCAGAAAUUUCGCAUAAGAACUUCAGUGUCCAUUUUCGGAACUUUGAAUUUUGAUUCAGUAAAUUAGUGCAAUUACAGUAGUACAGAUAUCAGUGAUUGCUUAUCUCAAGCUACAGAGAUUUUACAAGAACCUUUCCUCAACCAAACCAAACGUAUUGCACUUUAAUAUGUAAACUUUUGCUAAAGGCCCAUUUGUUCUGUUGCUCACGCAGUGGUGAACAGUCGUUUCCCAGAGUACUUCCAUUGAAGUCAGUGGGACUGCUCAUGUGAAUAACUGCUAAUAAAAAUCAAAGGCUCUCAUUUUCUCGCCCAAAUGAUUUUAACAUAAUAGGCCAGAUAAUUAGCUGAUGUUAAGGGGUAGGGGUGUAAAUCCAUUGGCCCAAAGUGUUCCCCCUUAUGCAACUCUUCAACAUUGCUACAGUUUCAUUCUACUUAAUGCUUUCUUUUUAUUAUGGUCAGUGCUAAACAUAAUAUGAUAUGUUCUUCUUUUGGACUGUCUGCAUUGCCAUUCAUCUGAAAGGGAGUUAAAACAAAAUAGCACUAGUACUGUAAAUAACUGUAAUUUUGUUUGUAAUGGUAUGAGCGCAGCAAGAGAAAAAUAUGCCCCAGUGAGUAUUUUACUUCAAAUUAUCCCUGAUAAUGGGUAGUCAAAAUUUUUGAAUCUUCAAAAGCUUCAAAUUACUGGAAACAUGAUUUUGCGAUUAACAUGCAAGAAUAUAAAUCAAGCAAUCUGGUGUCUAUUCCUGCCUCUUUGAAGAGUAAUUUAAGACACUUAUAUUCUCCAUACCUCAGUUUCCCCAACUGUCAAAGAUAAAAGAUGAUGAUCUUUACAAGGAUGUUGUGAGACUAAAUUCAUUGAAGUCUGCAAAAGGUCUUUGGGAUCCUCAGAGGGAAGACAUUAUGGAAGUAUAAGGUAUUACCAUUAUUAUAACAGAAUACUGCCAUAGUAUUGGGCUCUUUUGGCUAAGAUCUAGUAUAGUGUCAAUUUUCUAUGACUAGGAGCUGUUCCCUCUCUUUACAGAGAAGUGGACUGUUUGGUUCCAUCUCUGACUACUGUGACCCCACUGUGUUACAGUACAGCACAAUGUAACCUCACACCCAGAAUAGUCUUCAUUGUUAGAUAUAUAUUGACACAGUGAGAUAAAUGUGCUGGAUCAGAUUCUGCCCUCAGAUAUGUGUAUGUGCAAGUAUCGCUGAAGUUAACAAGUAAGGUAGGUGUGUGUGUGUGUGUGUGUGUGUGUGUGUGUGCGCGCGUGCGCCUAUGGUCAGGUUUGACUACAGGGUACUUAAGUACCUAAUCUUAAAUACGACAGUAGGAUUAGGGUUGCAUUUUCCUUGGCGUUAAACUGUGGAGCCCUUCUGUAAUGACAAGUAAAUGAAAGGAGGAGAAACUGUGCACUGGCUGUAGUGGUUUAAGUUACAUAACUCAUUAGCUGGUCCAGAGAAGAGAUGCCAAUGCUUAUGGCUUUAUCAGCCUUCCUUUCACAGACACUGAGCAGAAAGGAUCAUUUGGGUUUACUGAGUGUAUAUAUGCAGGAGAUUUACACGAUUUAAAAAUAGGAAUGUUCUUAAUCUGCUGGGAACAUUUUAUUUUUUGUAUUUGAUGUAAAAUAAAUGUAUGAAAAUGACUUCAGUUUAAAUAGACUCCGUUGAUACAGUACUUUUCCACUGAAUUUACUAGGAGCUGUGAAUGUGUUAUAACAAACUGCACUGCAGGCUGCAGCAUCUGAUUGUCAUGCCAGGAGCAUCACUAGCGUAGAACUAAAUAGAGAUUGGUGAGGAAACUGGGUCAGGAAACAGGCCUACUGUACCUGCAGAGACUGCAGAGUGCAAUAGCAAAGAAACAGAGUGUCCACGGCAUGGCACUGUCUUACAAAACAUAGAUGAGUAGGCUGGUGAGAACGUGUUUUUGAUAUUAUGCAUGGCUCAGGCUAGAGAUGCUUCUGCUCCCUGCUUCCAGCCCCUCUUUUUUGCCAGGUGAUUUUUAGCCAUGGCCAUUUUGCCUCUCUCGCUUCUGUAGUCCAUAAUGCAUUUUCCUUUCUCCCAGAGCUCAGAAAUAUCCAUGCUGAUUUCCUAUAAAAUAGGAAGGACACUGUAGGUUAAUUUUUGUAUUAGGUAUGGUGUUAAAUAUUAUAAGAUCAGUUAACAUCCCUCUCCCCCAUCACAGCUUAUGAAAACUGUGUGAAAGGUAUGUGGCAAACUGGCCAAGAAUCUUGAGCACCUUGCUCAAAAUAAUAAAAAAGACUCUUCGAUACAGUUUGAUUAGCUUAAUAACAUUGGCUUAUUAGUUGUGUCAUGAAGAAUAAAAUUUAAAAAAAACAAACAGAGGCGCUACAGGGUCA